rnacentral:rRNA from 1 species
UACGGGGGGGGUAAGCGUUGUUCGGAAUUACUGGGCGUAAAGGGCUCGUAGGCGGCCAACUAAGUCAGACGUGAAAUCCCUCAGCUUAACUGGGGAACUGCGUCUGAUACUGGAUGGCUUGGAUUUGGGAGAGGGAUGCGGAAUUCCCGGUGUAGUGGUGAAAUGCGUAGAUAUCGGGAGGAACACCAGUGGCGAAGGCGGCUUCCUGGCCUGUUCUUGACGCUGAGGCGCGAAAGCUAGGGGAGCAAACGGG